rnacentral:rRNA from 1 species
UACAGAGGUCCCAAGCGUUGUUCGGAUUCAUUGGGCGUAAAGGGUGCGUAGGCGGCGCGGUAAGUCGGGUGUGAAAUCUCGGAGCUUAACUCCGAAACUGCAUUCGAUACUGCAGUGCUUGAGGACUGGAGAGGAGACUGGAAUUUACGGUGUAGCGGUGAAAUGCGUAGAUAUCGUAAGGAAGACCAGUGGCGAAGGCGGGUCUCUGGGCCGAUACUGACGCUGAGGAGCGAAAGCGUGGGGAGCGAACAGG